ACAAGCGGUGGAGCAUGUGGUUUAAUUCGAAGCAACGCGAAGAACCUUACCAGGUCUUGACAUCCCUGACAACCCGAGAGAUCGGGCGUUCCCCUUCGGGGGACAGGGUGACAGGUGGUGCAUGGUUGUCGUCAGCUCGUGUCGUGAGAUGUUGGGUUAAGUCCCGCAACGAGCGCAACCCUCGACCUUAGUUGCCAGCAUUCAGUUGGGCACUCUAAGGUGACUGCCGGCUAAAAGUCGGAGGAAGGUGGGGAUGACGUCAAAUCAUCAUGCCCCUUAUGACCUGGGCUACACACGUGCUACAAUGGUUGGUACAACGAGUUGCGAGUCGGUGACGGCGAACUAAUCUCUUAAAGCCAAUCUCAGUUCGGAUUGUAGGCUGCAACUCGCCUACAUGAAGUCGGAAUCGCUAGUAAUCGCGGAUCAGCACGCCGCGGUGAAUACGUUCCCGGGCCUU
rnacentral:rRNA from 1 species